GACGAACGCUGGCGGCGUGCUUAACACAUGCAAGUCGAACGGAAAGGCCCUGCUUUUGUGGGGUGCUCGAGUGGCGAACGGGUGAGUAACACGUGAGUAACCUGCCCUUGACUUUGGGAUAACUUCAGGAAACUGGGGCUAAUACCGGAUAGGAGCUCCUGCUUCAUGGUGGGGGUUGGAAAGUUUCGGCGGUUGGGGAUGGACUCGCGGCUUAUCAGCUUGUUGGUGGGGUAGUGGCUUACCAAGGCUUUGACGGGUAGCCGGCCUGAGAGGGUGACCGGCCACAUUGGGACUGAGAUACGGCCCAGACUCCUACGGGAGGCAGCAGUGGGGAAUAUUGAACAAUGGGCGGAAGCCUGAUGCAGCAACGCCGCGUGCGGGAUGACGGCCUUCGGGUUGUAAACCGCUUUCGCCUGUGACGAAGCGUGAGUGACGGUAAUGGGUAAAGAAGCACCGGCUAACUACGUG
rnacentral:rRNA from 1 species